GGGGAUGUAAAGGCUUCGACGGGGAUUGUGAACCAUGGUAAGCAGGCAGCGCCGCGGAACGCUUUAUUUUCGCAAACAAAAUGAACUGACAAAACGAACAACGCUAACUAUAACUAUAGGGUGGCGUACGCAGCUUAAUUAAGCUGCCGUCCUUACCGGGAGCACCGCGGCCUGGCUAAGGGCGUCGAUUAGCGGUGAACGUGAACCGGGGAGCGCCUUGGCCCCGGUCAUGACCAAAAGGCUACCGGACGCGCAGAGCCUGCCUUUGGGCGCUGCGCCGAGGGAAUUUUAAAACACAGGCUAAGCUUGUAGAAAGCCCUGGCAAAUGAUCUUCGGACACGGGUUCGACUCCCGUCAUCUCCACCA
rnacentral:tmRNA from 1 species